AGUGGCGCACGGGUGAGUAACGCGUGGGUAAUCUGCCCUUAGGUUUGGGAUAACCCCGGGAAACCGGAGCUAAUACCGAAUGAGACCACGACGACCUCGGUCGAUGUGGGAAAAGGUGGCCUCUUCUUGAAAGCUAUCGCCGAAGGAUGAGCCCGCGUUUGAUUAGCUAGUUGGUGAGGUAAUGGCUCACCAAGGCGACGAUCAAUAGCUGGUCUGAGAGGAUGAUCAGCCACACUGGAACUGAGAUACGGUCCAGACUCCUACGGGAGGCAGCAGUCAGGAAUAUUGGGCAAUGGGCGAAAGCCUGACCCAGCAACGCCGCGUGAAGGAUGAAGGCCUUCGGGUCGUAAACUUCUGUCGAGAGGGAAGAAUGCGUACGGGUGAAUAAUCUGUGCGUUUGACGGUACCUCCAAAGGAAGCACCGGCUAACUCCGUGCCAGCAGCCGCGGUAAUACGGAGGGUGCAAGCGUUGUUCGGAUUCAUUGGGCGUAAAGCGAGUGUAGGCGGUUUGACAAGUCGGAUGUGAAAUCCCGGGGCCCAACCCCGGAACUGCAUCCGAUACUGUCUGGCUAGAGUCCCGGAGAGGGUGGCGGAAUUCCCGGUGUAGGGGUGAAAUCCGUAGAUAUCGGGAGGAACACCAGUGGCGAAGGCGGCCACCUGGACGGUGACUGACGC
rnacentral:rRNA from 1 species